rnacentral:rRNA from 1 species
AGUGAACGCUGGCGGUAGGCCUAACACAUGCAAGUCGAACGGCAGCACAGUAAGAGCUUGCUCUUACGGGUGGCGAGUGGCGGACGGGUGAGGAAUACAUCGGAAUCUACUUUUUCGUGGGGGAUAACGUAGGGAAACUUACGCUAAUACCGCAUACGACCUACGGGGGAAAGCAGGGGAUCUUCGGACCUUGCGCGAUUGAAUGAGCCGAUGUCGGAUUAGCUAGUUGGCGGGGUAAAGGCCCACCAAGGCGACGAUCCGUAGCUGGUCUGAGAGGAUGAUCAGCCACACUGGAACUGAGACACGGUCCAGACUCCUACGGGAGGCAGCAGUGGGGAAUAUUGGACAAUGGGCGCAAGCCUGAUCCAGCCAUACCGCGUGGGUGAAGAAGGCCUUCGGGUUGUAAAGCCCUUUUGUUGGGAAAGAAAAGCAGCAGGUUAAUACCCCGCUGUUCUGACGGUACCCAAAGGAUAAGCACCGGCUAACUUCGUG